rnacentral:lncRNA from 1 species
AGAAAAAAAAAGAAAGAAGUUGCAAUGCCAUCUAUCAAACAAAUUUAACAAUCAAGUGGAUUUGAACAUCUCACCUCAGAGGAGUCUACUAAAUAUUGAAUUUGUCGAUCGAUUGUUAGGCUUGCCUAUUUCGAUCGCCAUCAAACAGUUAAUGGCGACGCGUGGUUGUUAUGUACACAAAUCAUAUUAUCAAAUUCGUGUUCUCAUCAUAGUUCAGCUGCCUUCCCUUUCCGGUUACAAUGAAGAAAAAUCGUUUGAGUCGAAAAUAUUAAAAGAACUUACUGGAAUUUGUCACAAGAAUGGAGAGGGCCAAAGGAUAUCGUUAAUACAUCCCAAAUGAUUAACUGUGUCCGCCAGUAAGCUUUGAACGAUAAACAAGAACUUCAUGGUUUUGAAGACUGAAGUUCUCCCUUGUUGAAAGGACAUUCCAAAAUCUCCAUUGCCACAAGAUAAAAUUUUUAUUCUAAACUGAUGCCCACAAAAUCUAUUUACACACAAUUGGGUGGAUGUGAGGGUUGCGUGGAUAUUGCCGUCAAUACUGCAGAACAGGAACAUGAAACAACUGCUUGUACAGUCCUUGGAAGACCUUGCUGCCAAUACGAUAGAAGCUCCUGCCAGAAUUGUAUAAGGAACAUACCAAUUGAUGAAUAUUUGUUUCAUAUAAGCUAUAAAAAUAAGAAUUAUUUUAUCCUUAUUUAUGUUUUCUUUUUCCUUAAUGUAGAUUUAUAGUAACGGUGGAUUUCAAAAGGUUUCUGGAAUAUGUUGCCGAAAAAAUUGUAACGAUUGCAAGCGUGAAAUUGAGUUUAACGCUUCAGUCACAUUCCCUUGUAUUACGGAUUGGACUCUGAACAUUGCUGAGAUGGCCACUGAUGUGCAGUUUUGAACUGCGAAUUCCCGGAUUGCCUUUGAAUUAUUGCCGAUGACAUUUUAAUCCUGAUGUUGGUAGUUAUCUGUUGUACGUAGUUGAACCUCAUAUUUACCAGAGUUU